CUUGCCCCUAGAAACAUCGCAGACAUGGGUGCUGUAUCACGUUUGUCAGUAGGUGGCCAAGAGGAGAAAGGCUAUGUCUACACUUAGUGCUCUGACCUGUGAAUAUCUCAAUGAUUAGUGCCCUAACAUU